AUGGGUGUCAAGGGUGGUGGUGUCCUGUGGUGUCUCCUGCUCGCCGGGCUCCUUCUCCUAGCCGUGGCCUGCGCGGCGGAGCGGGACACGGAGAAGGAGAAGGAGGAGGAGAUCCGGUGGUGCAAGGAGGACUGCGACUGGAAGGCGGGGCAGGACACCGGGAAGGCCAGGGAGUGCAAGGAGCAGUGUGAGCGCCGCCGCCACGGCCACGAGCUGCUCCAGGAAGACGGCGACAGCUUCGACAGCUGUGUGAGCAAGUGCCGGGGCCAUGGGGGCUGGUGGGGAAAGGAGCGGUGGGAACGGUGCAGGCAGAUAUGCAGGCAAAGCCAAGAAGGGGAGGGGGGUGACGAGGGCGACAACACCGACGACAGGUGCGAGAGGAUGUGCCAGCACUACCACGACCGCCGGGAGAAGAAGCAGUGCAUGAAAGGCUGCAGAUAUGGCGAGUCCGACCUCCUCAGCUCCGACGACGGCCAUGAACACGGAGACCGCUGCCAAACACAGUGCAAGCGCUUGCGGCCCGGGUCAUACGACAGACAGCAGUGCGUCGAAAAGUGCCAGUGCCAGCAGAAGGAGGACGAGGAGGUGAUGAACCACCACGGCGGCGGUGGCCAUGGCCACGGCGGCAGCAGCUGCGAGCAGAAAUGCCAGCAGCGAUACCGCCAUGAGUACGACAAGCAGCAGUGCGUGCGAGACUGCAAAAGCGGCGGUGGCGGCGGCGCCGGUGGGCGUGGCCGCGAGGGCGACGAGCGCCAGCACGGCAGGGAGAUGGUGGUCGAAGCCAUCCUCGAGGAGGUGUAG
rnacentral:rRNA from 1 species